rnacentral:rRNA from 1 species
CGCGUAGGUGGCCCGGUCAGCGUGCGGUGAAAGCUCGGGGCUCAACCCCGAGUCGGCCGUGCGAACUGCUGGGCUCGAGCACUGUAGAGGCAGGCGGAAUUCCGGGUGUAGCGGUGGAAUGCGUAGAGAUCCGGAAGAACACCGGUGGCGAAGGCGGCCUGCUGGGCAGUAGCUGACACUGAGGCGCGACAGCGUGGGGAGCAAACAGGAUUAGAUACCCUGGUAGUCCACGCCGUAAACGAUGGGCACUAGGCGCUUGGGGGAGCGACCCCCCGAGGGCCGGCGCUAACGCAUUAAGUGCCCCGCCUGGGGAGUACGGCCGCAAGGCUGAA